GUGAUUGACUUUCCAUAACAAAGACAAACAACAAAACAAAAUAACCAAGAGAACCAGGAGACACCUCCCAAACUAGCAAUGCUAGCCCCAGCUAAUGGCUGCCAAUCAACAGAAAAUACCCAUGCCUCUUCUUCUGUGAUGGCUCUUAUUUAUACUGGAAUUAAAUCCUUCAUUCUGUCAGUAGACCACAUGUGUCUCAGCACCCGCAAUUCCCUCUACAGAUGCUCUUUCUGGCCAACCAAAUCUAGCUGCAUAAUUCUAGAUGUUUCCAUUCCACUCCCUUCAGUUCUUCCCCCCAACUUGCUCUUUCUUCCUUCUAUUUCUUCUGUAAUACUCUCUCAAUGGCUUUGGUCCUUGAACCCCAUUCCUGGGACUUUAGCUGAGCUUCCAUCAAUUAAGUUUAGGAAUUUUAUUCAUUUGUAACACUAGGAAGUUUAGAAUUUAUUAUUAUUAUUAUUAU
rnacentral:misc_RNA from 1 species